rnacentral:rRNA from 1 species
AGCGCACCUUCCGGGUGAGCGGCGGACGGGUUAGUAACGCGUGGGAACGUGCCCAGAUCUAAGGAAUAGCCACUGGAAACGGUGAGUAAUACCUUAUACGCCCUUCGGGGGAAAGAUUUAUCGGAUUUGGAUCGGCCCGCGUUAGAUUAGGUAGUUGGUGGGGUAAUGGCCUACCAAGCCUACGAUCUAUAGCUGGUUUUAGAGGAUGAUCAGCAACACUGGGACUGAGACACGGCCCAGACUCCUACGGGAGGCGGCAGUGGGGAAUCUUAGACAAUGGGGGAAACCCUGAUCUAGCCAUGCCGCGUGAGUGACGAAGGCCUUAGGGUCGUAAAGCUCUUUCGCCAUGGAUGAUAAUGACAGUACCUGGUAAAGAAACCCCGGCUAACUCCGUGCCAGCAGCCGCGGUAAUACGGAGGGGGUUAGCGUUGUUCGGAAUUACUGGGCGUAAAGCGCGCGUAGGCGGAUUGGAAAGUUGGGGGUGAAAUCCCAGGGCUCAACCCUGGAACUGCCUCCAAAACUCCCAGUCUAGAGUUCGAGAGAGGUGAGUGGAACUCCGAGUGUAGAGGUGAAAUUCGUAGAUAUUCGGAAGAACACCAGUGGCGAAGGCGGCUCACUGGCUCGAUACUGACGCUGAGGUGCGAAAGUGUGGGGAGCAAACAGGAUUAGAUACCCUGGUAGUCCACACCGUAAACGAUGAAUGCCAGUCGUCGGCAAGUAUACUUGUCGG